rnacentral:lncRNA from 1 species
CUCAAAACUACUCUUGAAAGCCUGUCUCAAAGGAAAUAGACCAGAAAGAUUAGGAAGAGGGAGGCCUGAGAAAGUAAGCAUCAUUUCAUAGGGUGGACAGCUGCCAGUUUCUGCCUUCCCAGCAUUCACACCUGACUUCCUUUAGUGACCUAAAGGGAUGGGCAGAAUGACCCAGCCAACUUGCUCUUCCAGGAAAACUUCAGGAUGGAAAACAGCUCCUGCUUCAUCCUGAGGUUCCCAAAACAGAAGUGAUCUCAUCCCCAAAUGCUGUUUAUGCUGUAUAUUCAGCUGUCACCACCCUGGAG